UACGUAGGGGGCAAGCGUUAUCCGGAUUUACUGGGUGUAAAGGGAGCGUAGACGGAAUGGCAAGUCUGAUGUGAAAGGCGGGGACUCAACCCCUGGACUGCAUUGGAAACUGCCAGUCUUGAGUACCGGAGGGGUAAGCGGAAUUCCUAGUGUAGCGGUGAAAUGCGUAGAUAUUAGGAGGAACACCAGUGGCGAAGGCGGCUUACUGGACGGUAACUGACGUUGAGGCUCGAAAGCGUGGGGAGCAAACAGG
rnacentral:rRNA from 1 species